GAGCCUAAACUUCAACUCCGGUCU
rnacentral:snRNA from 1 species